CCAUUCAAAUCCAUUUGAUGAUUCCAUUCGAUUCCAUUCGAUGUUACCAUUCGAGUAUAUAUGAUGAUUCCACUCGAUUCCAUUUGAUGAUUAUUCCAUUGGAGUCCACUUAGUGAAUCCUUUAGAUUCUACUCGAAGAUGAUUCCAUUCGAGUCCAUUCGAUGAUACCAUUCAAUUCCAUUCGUUGAUGCUUCCAUUCAAGUGCAUUCGAUGAUAUCAUUCGAUUCCAUUUGAUGAUAAUUCCAUUUGAUUCCAUUGGAUGAUUCUAUUCGAUUCCAUUCAAUGAUAAUUCCAUUCAAUUCAGUGAUUCCUCUGGACUCCAUUUGAUGAUGAUUCCAUUCAAUGAUUCCAUUCGAUUCUAUUCGAAAAUGAUUCCAUUUGAAUCCAUUUGAUGAUGAUUCCAUUAGAUUCCAUUUGAUGAUUCCAUUCGAUUCCAUUCAAUGAUAAUUCCAUUCAAUUCAGUGAUUCCUCUGGACUCCAUUUGAUGAUGAUUCCAUUCAAUGAUUCCAUUCGAUUCUAUUCGAAAAUGAUUCCAUUUGAAUCCAUUUGAUGAUGAUUCCAUUGGAUUCCAUUUGAUGAUUCCAUUCGAUUCCAUUCGAUGAUGAUUCCAUUCGAUUCCAUUUGAUGAUUCCAUUCUAUUGUAUUCGAUGAUGAUUCCAUUCGAUUCCAUUCGAUGAUGAUUGGAUUCGAUUCCAUUUGAUGAUUUCAUUUGAUUCCAUUCGAUAAUGAUUUCGAUCAAUUCCAUUCGAUGAUUCCAUUCGAUUCCAUUCGAUAAUGAUUACAUCCGAGUCCAUUCGAUGAUUCCAUUUGAGCCCGUUCGAUAAUUCCAUUUGAGUCCAUUCAAUGAUUCCAUUCAUUUCCAUUCAAUGAUUCCAUUCGAGUCCAUUUGAUCAUUCCGGUAGGGUCCGUUCGAUGUUGAUUCCAUUGGAGUGCAUUCGAUGAUUCCAUUCGAGUCCAUUUUAUGAUUUGAUUCGAGUCCUUUCGAUGAUUCCAUUCGAUUCCACUCGAUGAUUUCAUUCGAGUCCAUUCGACACUUCCAAUCGAUUCCAUUUGAUGUUUCCAUUCGAGUCCAAUUGAUGAUUCCAUUCAAUUCCAUUCGAUGAUGAUUCCGUACGAUUCCAUUCUGUGAUGAUUCCAUGUGAUUGCAUUCAAUGAUGAUUCCUUUCGAUUGCAUUCGAUUAUGAUUCAUUUCGUGUUCAUUCUAUGGUUCCACAGGUUUCCAUUCGUGUCCAUUCCAUUAUUCCAUUCUAUUCCAUUUGAUGAUGAUUCCAUUCGAUUCCAUUCAUUGGUGAUUCCACUCAAUUCCAUUCAAUGAUUCCAUUCCAUUUCUUUCAACAAUGAUUCCAUUAGUUUCUAUUCGAUGAUCCACUUGAUUCCAUUUGACGAUGAUUCCAUUCUUGUCCAUUCGAUGAUUCCAUUUGAUUCCAUAUGAUGAUGAUUCCAUUCGAUUCCAUACGAUGAUGAUUCCAUUCGAGUCCAUUCAAUGGUGAUUCCAUUCAAUUCCAUUCGAUGAUUCCUUUCGAUUCCAUUCGAUGAUGAUGGCAUUCGAUUCCUUUCGAUCAUUCCCUUUGAUUCCAUUCAAAGAUGAUUCCAUUCUAGCCCAUUCAAUCAUUCCAUUCGAUUCUAUUCAAUGAUGAUUCCAUUCAUGUCGAUUUGGUGAUUCCAUUUGACUUCAUUUGAUGAUGAUUCCUUUCAAGUUCAUUAGAUGAUUCCAUUCGAUUCCAUUUGAUGAUGAUCCCAUUUGAGUCCAUUCAGUGAUUCCACUCGUUUCCAUUCCAUGAUGAUUCCAUUCCAUUCCAUUCAAUGAUUCCAUUCGAUUCCGUUUGAUGAUGAUUUCAUUCGAGUCCAUUUGAUGAUUCCAUUUGAUUCCAUUCGAUGAUGAUUCCAUUCGAGUCCAUUCGAUGAUUCUAUUCGAAUCCAUUUGAUGAUUUCUUUUGAUUAUAUUUGGUGAUGAUUCCAUUGGAGUCCAUUCAAUGAUUCCAUUCGAUUCCAAUCGAUGAUGAUUCCAUUAGAGUCCAUUUAAUGAUUCCAUUUGAUUCCAGUCUCUGAUGAUUACAUUCGAGUCCGUACGAUGAUUCCACUCAAUUCCAUAUGAUGAUGAUUCCAUUCGAUUCCAUUCGAUGAUUCCAUUCUAUUCUAUUCAAUGGUGAUUCCAUUCGAGUACAUUAGAUGAUUCCAUUCGAUUCCAUUCAAUGAUGAUUCUAUUUGUGUCCCUUAGAUGAUUCCACAUGAUUCCAUUAGAUGAUGAUACUAUUUCAGCCCAUCCAAUGAUUCCCUUCGAUUCCAUUCGAUGAGGAUUCCAUUCGAUUCAAUUCAUUGGUGAUUCUAUUCAAUUCAAUUCUUUGAUUCCAUUGCAUUCCAUUCGACAAUGAUUCCAUUCGAUUUCUUUCGAUGAUUCCACUCGAUUCCACUUGACAUUGAUUCCAUUCGAUUCCAUUCAAUGAUUCCGUUUGAUUCCAGUGGAUGAUGAUUGCCAUUGAUUCCAUUCGAUCACUCCAUUCUAUUCCAUUUGAUGAUGAUUACAUUCGAUUCCAUUUGAUGAUUCCAUCUGAUUCUAUUCGAGGAUUCCAUUUGAUUCCAUUCGAUGAUGAUUCCAUUUGAGUCCAUUCGAUGAUUUCAUUCGAGUACAUCCAAUGAUUCCAUUCGAGUCCAUUUGAUGAUUCCAUUUGAUUCCAUUUGAUUAUGUUUCUACUAGAGUCCAUUCAAUGACUCCAUUCGAGUCCAUUCAAAAAUUCCAUUCGAGUCCAUUCGAUGAUUCCAUUCGAUUCCAUUUGAUGAUUCCAUUCGAGUCCAUUUAAUCAUUACAGUCGAGUCCAUUUGGUGAUUCCACUGGAUUUCUUUUGAUAAUGAUACCAUUCAAUUACAUUUGAUGAUGAUCCCAUUCAAUUUCAUUUGAUGAUGAUUCCAUUAGAGUCCAUUCGAUGAUUUCAUUCGAGUCCCUUCAUUGAUUCCAUCCGAUCUCAUUUGAUGAUGAUUCCAUUCGAGUCCAUUCGAUGAUUCCACUCGAUUCCAUUAGAUGAUUCCAUUGGAGUCCAUUUCAUUGUUCCAUUCGAUUCCAUUCGAUUCCUUUCGAAGAUUAUUCCAUUUGAGUCCAUUCGAUGAUGAUUCCAUUCCAUUCCAUUCCAUUCGAUGAUUCCGUUUGAUUCCAUUCGAUGAUUCCCUUUGAUUCCUUUCUGUGAUGAUUCCAUUCCAUUCCAUUCAAUGAUUCCAUUCGAAUCUAUUCCAUGAUGAUUCCUUUCGAUUCCAUUCGCUGAUGUUUCCGUUCAAUUCCAUUCGAUGAUGAUUCCAUUCGAUUCCAUUCAUUGAGGAUUCCAUUUGAUUCCAUUCAAUGAUGAUUCCAUUCUAUUCCAUUCAAUGAUUGCAUUCAAUUCCAUUCAAUGAUUAUCCCAUUAGAGUAAACUCAACGAUUCCAUUCAAUACCAUUCGAUGAUGAUUCCUUUUGAGUCCAUUCAAUGAUUUCAUUCAAUUCCAUUUGAUGAUUCCUUUCAAUUCCAUUCUAUGAUGAUUCCAUUCGAGUCCAUUCGAUGAUUCCAUUCGAUUGCAUGCGAUGAUUCCAUUAUAUUCCAUUCAACGAUGAUUCCAUUCGAGUCCAUUCGAUGAUUCCAUUAGAGUACAUUUAAUGAUUGCUUUGUUUUCUAUUCGAAGAUGAUUACAUUGGAUUCCAUUCUAUGAUUCCAUUCGAUUCCAUUCAUUGAUGAUUCCACCCGAUUCCAUUCGAUGAUGAUUCCAUUCGAUUUCAUUGAAUGAUUCUACUCGAUUGCAUUCAAUGUUGAUUCAAUUCUAUUCCGUUCGAUGAUUCCAUUAGAUUCCAUUCUAUGAUGAUUCCAUUCGAGUCCAUUCGAAGAUUCCAUUCGAUUACAUUCCAUGACGAUUCCAUUCGAGUCCAUUCGAUGAUUCCAUUUGAAUCCAUUCGACGAUGAUUCCAUUUGAUGCUAUUCGAUGAUUCCAUUGGAUUCCAUUCGAUGAUGAUUCCAUUCGACUUGAAUCGAUGAUUCUAUUUGAGUCCAUUCGGUUAUUUUAUUAGACUACAUUCGAUGAUGAUUCCAUUCGAUGCCAUUCAAAGAUUCCAUUUGAUUCCACUCAAUGAUGAUUGCAUUCGUGUCCAUUCGAUGAUUCCAUUUGGUUCCAUUUGAUGAUGAUUCCAUUCGAGUCCAUUCGAUGAUACCAUUCAAUUCCAUUCGAUGAUCAUUCCAUUCGAAUCGAUUUGAUGAUUCCACUCAAUUCCAUUUGAUGACUCCUUUCAUUCCCAUUCGAUGAUUCCCUUCAAUUCCAUUCGAUGAUCUUUCCAUUUGAUUCAAUAUGGUGAUUCCAUUCUAUUAUAUUCAAUGAUGAUUCCAUUCGACUCCAUUACAUGAUGACUCCAUUCCAUUCCAUUCGAUUGUGAUUUCAUUCGAUUCCAUUCGAAGAUGAUUCCAUUCGAGUCCAUUUGAUGAUUCCAUUCGAUUCCAUUCAAUGAUGAUUCCACUCAAAUCCAUUGGAUGAUUCCAUUCGUGUCCAUUCGGUGAUUUCAUUAGAUUCCAUUCGAGGAUGAUUCCAUUCCAUUCCAUUCGAUGAUUCCAUUCAAUUCCAUUCGAUGAUGAUUCCAUUCGAGUCCAUUCAAUGAUUCCAUUGGAUUCCGUUUGAUAAUGAUUCCAUUAGAGUUCAUUCGAUGAUUCCCUUCGAGUCCAUUCGAUUAUUCCUUUUGAUUCCAUUUGAUGAUGAUUCCAUUCGAUUCCAUUCAAUGAUUCCAUUCCAUUCCAUUCGAUGAUGAUUCCAUUCGAUAAUGAUUACAUUCGAGCCCAUGUGAUGAUUCCAUUCGAUUCUAUUCAAUGAUGAUUCCAUUCGACCACAUUCGAUGAAGGCAUUCGAGUCCAUUCGACGAUUUCACUCGAUUCCACUUGAUGAUGAUUCCUUUUGAGUCCAUUUGAUGAUUACAUUCGAGUCCAUGAGAUGACUCCAUUCGAUUCCGUUUAAUGAUGAUGCAAUUCGAGGCUAUUCGAUCAUCCCAUUUUAGUGCAUUCGGUGAUUCUCUUUUAUUACAUUCGAUGAGGGCUCCAUUCAAUGAUUCCAUUAGAUUCCAUUCGAUGAUGAUUCCAUUUGAGUCCAUUCAAAGAUUCCUUUCGAGUCCAUUCGAUAAUUCUAUUGGAUUCCACUAGGUGAUGAUUCCUUUUGAGUCAAUUCGAUGAUUCCUUUCAAGGGCCUUCAAUGAUUCCAUUCGAUUCCAUUCGAUGACGAUUCAUUUCCAGUCCAUUCAAUGGUUCCAUUCUGUUGAAUUUGAUGGUUCCAUUUGAUUCCAUUCGAUGAUGAUUCCAUUCGUGUCCAUUGGACGAUUCCAUUCGAUUCCUUUCGAGGAAGAUUCCAUUCGACUCCAUUCGAUGAUUCCGUUCGAUUCCAUUCCAUGAUGAUUCCAUUUGAUUCCAUUCCAUGAUUCCAUUCGAUACCAUUCGAUGAUGAUUCCAUUCGGCUCCAUUUGAUGAAUCCAUUCAAUGCUUCCAUUCGAGUCCAUUCGAGGAUUCCAUUCGUUGCUAUUAGAUGAUGAUUCCAUUCAUGACCAUUUGGUGAUUCCAUUCGAUUUCAUUCGUUGAUGAUUCCAUUCGAGUCCAUUCCAUGAUUCCAUUCGAGUCCAUUCGAUGAUUCCGUUCUAUUCCAUUCUAUGAUUCCAUUCGAGUCCAUUCGAUGAUUCCAUUCGAUUCUAUUCAGUGAUGAUUCCAUUUGAUUCCAUGUGAUGAUGAUUUCAUUUGACUCCAUUCGAUGAUGAUUCCAUUGGAGUCCAUUGAAUGAUUCAAUUCAAUUCCAUUCUAUGUGGAUUCCAUUCGAAUUCAUUCGAUUAUUCCAUUCAAAUCCCUUCGUUGAUUCCAUCUGAUUCCACUUGACGAUGAUUCCAUUCAAGUCCAAUCGAUGAUUCCAUUCGGUUCCAUUCAAUGAUUCCAUUCGAGUCCAUUUUUGUAUUCUAUUCAUGUCCACUUGAUGAUUCCCUUCAAUUCCAUUUAAUGAUGAUUCCAUUUGAUGCCAUUUGAUGAUUCAGUUCGAUUCCUUGCAAUGAUUCCCUAUGAUUCCUUUCUAUGAUGAUUCCAUUCGAUUCCAUUCAUUGAUGAUUCCAUUCGACUCCAUUCGAUGAUGGUUCCUUUCGAUUCCAUUUGACGAUGUUUCCAUUAGAGUCCAUUCGACGAUGAUUGUAUUCAAUUCUGUUCUAUUAUGAUUCCAUUCGAUUUCAUUCAAUGCUUCUAUUUGAUUCCAUUCGAUGAUGAUUCCAUCUCUUUCCCUUCGAUGAUUCCAUUUCAUUCCAUUCAGUGAUGAUUCCAUUUGAUUCCAUCUGAUGAUGAUUUCACUUGAUUCCUUUCAAUGAUGAUUCCAUUCAAGUCCAUUCGAUGAUUCCAUUGGAGUCCAAACGAUCAUUCCAUUCGAUUCCAUUCAAUUCCAUUCGAAGAUGAUUCCAUUCAAUUCCAUUCGAUGAUGCUUCCGUAUGAAUCCAUUCACUGAUUAUUCCAUUCGAUUCCAUUCAUUGACGAUUCCAUUCGAUUCCAUUCAAUGAUGAUUCUCUUCUAUUCCAUUCGAUGAUUCCGGUCGAUUCCAUUCGAUGAUGAUUCCAUUAGAUUCCAUUCGAUUGUUGCAUUCGAUUCCCUUCGAUGAAGAUUCGUUUGAAUUGCAUUCGAUUAUGAUUCCGUAUGAAUCCAUUUGAUGAUUAUUCCAUUGGAUUCCUUUCGAUGAUGAUUCCAUUCGAUUCCAUUUGAUGAUGUUUCUCUUGUAUUCCAUUUGAUAAUUCCUUUCAAUUCCCUUCGAUGAUGAUUCUUUCGAGUCAAUUCGAUGAUUCUAUUCCAUUCCCUUCGAUGAUGAUUCCAUUUCACUCCAUUCGAUGAUUCCAUUCGACUCAAUUUGGUGAUGAUUCAAUUCGAUGACAUUCGAUGACUCCAUUCAAUUUCAUUUGAUGAUGAUUACAUUCGAGUCCAUUUGAUGAUUGUAUUCCUUUCCUUUUGAUGAUUAUUCCAUUCGUGUCUAUUCAAAGAUUCCAUUCUAUUCCAUUCAACGAUGAUUCCAUUUGAUUCUAUUCAAUGAUUAUGGCUAUCGAUUCCACUCGUUGAUUCCAUUUGAUUCCAUUCGAUGAUUAUUCCGUUAGAUUCCAUUAGAAGAUUCCAUUCGAUUUUAUUCAAUGAUUCCAAUGGAUUCCAUUGGAAUCAUCAACGAAUGAAAUCGAAUGGAAUCACCAAAUUGUCAUGAAUGGAAUAAUCAUCUAAUAGCAACGAAUGGAAUCAUCGAAUGGACUCGAAUGGAAUAUCAUCGAAUGGAAUUAAAAGCAAUCAUCGAAUGGACUCCAGUGGAAUUAUUGAAUGGACUCAAAUGGAAUCUUUAUCGAAAGGACUCAAAAAGAAUGAUUGAAUAUUCUCGAAUGGAAUCAUCGAUUGGACUCAAAUGGAAUUAUCGAAUAUCCGCAAAUGGAAUCAUCGAAUGGACUCGAAAGGAAUCAUUAUCAAAUGGAAUCAAAUGGAACCAUAAAAUGGAAUCGAAUGAAUGAUCGAAUGCAAUUGAUCAGAAUCAUCAUCGAAUGGAAUCAAAUGGAAUCAUCAAAUGGAAUCGUAUGCAGUCAUCAUCAAAU
rnacentral:lncRNA from 1 species